rnacentral:rRNA from 1 species
UAGGGAAGGCGCAAGCGUUGUUCGGAAUCACUUGGCGUAAAGCGCGUGUAGGCGGCUCUGCAAGUCGGGUGUGAAAUCCCUAGGCUCAACCUCGGAACUGCACUCGAUACUGCUUGGCUUGAGUCACGGAGAGGGUGGCGGAAUUCCCGGUGUAGGGGUGAAAUCCGUAGAUAUCGGGAGGAACACCAGUGGCGAAGGCGGCCACCUGGACGGUGACUGACGCUGAGACGCGAAAGCGUGGGGAGCAGACAGG